rnacentral:rRNA from 2 species
ACGGAAGGCAGCAGUGGGGAAUAUUGCACAAUGGGGGAAACCCUGAUGCAGCGACGCCGCGUGAGUGAAGAAGUAUUUCGGUAUGUAAAGCUCUAUCAGCAGGAAAGAAAAUGACGGUACCUGACUAAGAAGCCCCGGCUAACUACGUGCCAGCAGCCGCGGUAAUACGUAGGGGGCAAGCGUUAUCCGGAUUUACUGGGUGUAAAGGGAGCGUAGACGGCUUUGCAAGUCUGAAGUGAAAGCCCGGGGCUCAACCCCGGAACUGCUUUGGAAACUGUAGAGCUAGAGUGCAGGAGAGGUAAGUGGAAUUCCUAGUGUAGCGGUGAAAUGCGUAGAUAUUAGGAGGAACACCAGUGGCGAAGGCGGCUUACUGGACCGUAACUGACGUUGAGGCUCGAAGGCGUGGGGAGCAAACAGGAUUAGAUACCCUGGUA